rnacentral:rRNA from 1 species
CCUACGGGAGGCAGCAGUAGGGAAUCUUCCGCAAUGGACGAAAGUCUGACGGGAGCAACGCCGCGUGAGUGAUGAAGGUUUUCGGAUCGUAAAGCUCUGUUGUUAGGGAAGAACAAGUGCCGUUCAAAUAGGGCGGCACCUUGACGGUACCUAACCAGAAAGCCACGGCUAACUACGUGCCAGCAGCCGCGGUAAUACGUAGGUGGCAAGCGUUGUCCGGAAUUAUUGGGCGUAAAGGGCUCGCAGGCGGUUUCUUAAGUCUGAUGUGAAAGCCCCCGGCUCAACCGGGGAGGGUCAUUGGAAACUGGGGAACUUGAGUGCAGAAGAGGAGAGUGGAAUUCCACGUGUAGCGGUGAAAUGCGUAGAGAUGUGGAGGAACACCAGUGGCGAAGGCGACUCUCUGGUCUGUAACUGACGCUGAGGAGCGAAAGCGUGGGGAGCGAACAGGAUUAGAUACCCUGGUAG